AAUGAACGCUGGCGGCGUGCCUAAUACAUGCAAGUCGAGCGAACAGACGAGGAGCUUGCUCCUUCGACGUUAGCGGCGGACGGGUGAGUAACACGUAGGUAACCUACCUAUAAGACUGGGAUAACUUCGGGAAACCGGAGCUAAUACCGGAUAAUAUUUCGAACCGCAUGGUUCGAUAGUGAAAGAUGGCUUUGCUAUCACUUAUAGAUGGACCUGCGCCGUAUUAGCUAGUUGGUAAGGUAACGGCUUACCAAGGCAACGAUACGUAGCCGACCUGAGAGGGUGAUCGGCCACACUGGAACUGAGACACGGUCCAGACUCCUACGGGAGGCAGCAGUAGGGAAUCUUCCGCAAUGGGCGAAAGCCUGACGGAGCAACGCCGCGUGAGUGAUGAAGGUCUUCGGAUCGUAAAACUCUGUUAUUAGGGAAGAACAAACGUGUAAGUAACUGUGCACGUCUUGACGGUACCUAAUCAGAAAGCCACGGCUAACUACGUG
rnacentral:rRNA from 1 species